rnacentral:rRNA from 1 species
GAAUAUUGCACAAUGGGGGAAACCCUGAUGCAGCGACGCCGCGUGAGUGAAGAAGUAUUUCGGUAUGUAAAGCUCUAUCAGCAGGGAAGAAAAUGACGGUACCUGACUAAGAAGCCCCGGCUAACUACGUGCCAGCAGCCGCGGUAAUACGUAGGGGGCAAGCGUUAUCCGGAUUUACUGGGUGUAAAGGGAGCGCAGACGGCAGUGCAAGUCUGAAGUGAAAGCUCGCGGCUCAACCGCGGAACUGCUUUGGAAACUGUACAGCUAGAGUACCGGAGGGGUAAGCGGAAUUCCUAGUGUAGCGGUGAAAUGCGUAGAUAUUAGGAAGAACACCGGUGGCGAAGGCGGCUUACUGGACGGUAACUGACGUUGAGGCUCGAAAGCGUGGGGAGCAAACA